GAUGAACGCUGGCGGCGUGCCUAAUACAUGCAAGUCGAGCGAACAGACGAGGAGCUUGCUCCCCUGACGUUAGCGGCGGACGGGUGAGUAACACGUGGAUAACCUACCUAUAUGACUGGGAUAACUUCGGGAAACCGGAGCUAAUACCGGAUAAUAUAUUGAACCGGAUGGUUCAAUAGUGCAAGACGGCUUUGCUGUCACUUAUAGAUGGAUCCGCGCCGCAUUAGCUAGUUGGUAAGGUAACGGCUUACCAAGGCAACGAUGCGUAGCCGACCUGAGAGGGUGAUCGGCCACACUGGAACUGAGACACGGUCCAGACUCCUACGGGAGGCAGCAGUAGGGAAUCUUCCGCAAUGGGCGAAAGCCUGACGGAGCAACGCCGCGUGAGUGAUGAAGGUCUUCGGAUCGUAAAACUCUGUUAUUAGGGAAGAACAAAUGUGUAAGUAACUAUGCACGUCUUGACGGUACCUAAUCAGAAAGCCACGGCUAACUACGUG
rnacentral:rRNA from 1 species